GACGAACGCUGGCGGCGUGCCUAAUACAUGCAAGUAGAACGCUGAAGGAGGAGCUUGCUCUUCUGGAUGAGUUGCGAACGGGUGAGUAACGCGUAGGUAACCUGCCUGGUAGCGGGGGAUAACUAUUGGAAACGAUAGCUAAUACCGCAUAACAGUAGAUGUUGCAUGACAUUUGCUUAAAAGUUGCAAUUGCACCACUACCAGAUGGACCUGCGUUGUAUUAGCUAGUUGGUGGGGUAACGGCUCACCAAGGCGACGAUACAUAGCCGACCUGAGAGGGUGAUCGGCCACACUGGGACUGAGACACGGCCCAGACUCCUACGGGAGGCAGCAGUAGGGAAUCUUCGGCAAUGGACGGAAGUCUGACCGAGCAACGCCGCGUGAGUGAAGAAGGUUUUCGGAUCGUAAAGCUCUGUUGUAAGAGAAGAACGAGUGUGAGAGUGGAAAGUUCACACUGUGACGGUAUCUUACCAGAAAGGGACGGCUAACUACGUG
rnacentral:rRNA from 1 species